AUUUGUCACAAUUAUGCACCGGCGGUAGUUAGCCCUAGACAGAGACAGUAAAAUUAAAAACUUGACAAGGCCGACAAAAUGGUGAAAAGUGAUGGAGCAAGUCAAUGGAGGGAGAGUGUGGUGUUUGACCUAAUUAGUGUAUGGGGAGAAGCUUCAAAUCUAUCAAAACU